UCAGCAGUCCAAAAUAUUAGUCAAUGCUCGAAAGAGUGAACUAGCUAACUGAAAUCAAUUAAAAAAUUGAUAACAUAAGGGAAAAUAAUGAUAUUACCUUAUUAUUAGUGUCGUCCAAAACUGGUGCCAGAAGACUCGGUAAGGCCAGAGACACAAACGUUAAUCGUCUUAAUCAGGCGUAAAGGGUUUGUAGGCGGCUUUUAAUUUACUUAUAAAAUAAGUUAAAAAUAAAAGCUAGAAUCAAAUAGAGGAUAUAUCAAAUAAUGCUUAGAGUAGGUCUGAUAUCCUUAGAUACUAAGUAGAAUAUUAAAGGCGAAAGCUUUUUUCCAUAAAUGAUUGACGCUCAGAAACGAAGGUGAGGAUAGGAAAUAGGAUUAGAUACCCAAAAUACCCCUCUCUGUCAACGAUGAAUGGUAAUUAUUAAUAAUAAAUUUAUUAUUAAUGGUAAUGUUAACACGAUAACCAUUCCGCCUUGUGAGUACAACUGCAAAGUUGAAAACAAAAAAAUUAGUCGGUUUCGGAGCAAACGAAGUGAAGCAUGUUAUUUAAUUCGAUAAUCCGCAAA
rnacentral:rRNA from 1 species